AUUGAACGCUGGCGGCAGGCCUAACACAUGCAAGUCGAGCGGAUGAAGGGAGCUUGCUCCUGGAUUCAGCGGCGGACGGGUGAGUAAUGCCUAGGAAUCUGCCUGGUAGUGGGGGAUAACGUCCGGAAACGGGCGCUAAUACCGCAUACGUCCUGAGGGAGAAAGUGGGGGAUCUUCGGACCUCACGCUAUCAGAUGAGCCUAGGUCGGAUUAGCUAGUUGGUGGGGUAAAGGCCUACCAAGGCGACGAUCCGUAACUGGUCUGAGAGGAUGAUGAGUCACACUGGAACUGAGACACGGUCCAGACUCCUACGGGAGGCAGCAGUGGGGAAUAUUGGACAAUGGGCGAAAGCCUGAUCCCGCCAUGCCGCGUGUGUGAAGAAGGUCUUCGGAUUGUAAAGCACUUUAAGUUGGGAGGAAGGGCAGUAAGUUAAUACCUUGCUGUUUUGACGUUACCAACAGAAUAAGCACCGGCUAACUUCGUG
rnacentral:rRNA from 1 species